UCAUUUGCGUAAAACAGAUUUCAGCAUUCCUUGAGCUGCUGCUGUCGUCUGCUAGGGUUUGCUCCUCCGUCCCGUUUGAGUUAGUUCAACCCUGUUACUCCUGCACCUCUUCAAUCUGCUCGUGGAGCUGCUACAGUGGUGGGCUUAGGUGUCAAAGUAAAUUGCUAGCUCAUUCCAGUUGAUGUGAGCAGAUGUGAGAACUCCUGGCAGUGGUACUAAUAAUAGGGAUGCUGCAGCUUGAUGGAUUGGAUGGGUAUUUGGCCCACUGUGGGGCCCAUCACUGAAGCAUUUUAUUAGUUAUGAUUCUCUUGUCCGAACAAGACCUAGUUUAAUCAUUUGUUUUCUUUCAGUGUAUUUUUGUUUGGGUCGUGUGGAGCCCUUUUCAUGUAAUCUGGGUAUAUCUAAUGUAUUGUAUAACUUUAUACCCUAAACUCCGUACUCUCUGAAUAUUCAUGUAUGUGAUGUAGGAUAUCCGGUUUUUGGGAUGUUACAAUGAAUC